rnacentral:rRNA from 1 species
AGAAUCAACGCUGGCGGCGUGCCUCAGACAUGCAAGUCGAACGCGAAAGCCCCCUUCGGGGGGCAAGUAGAGUGGCGCACGGGUGAGUAACACGUAGGUAAUCUACCUUCGGAUGGGGAAUAACAACCGGAAACGGUUGCUAAUACCGCAUAAUGCAGCGGCACCUAAUGGUGACAGUUGUUAAAGCGGGGGAUCGAAAGACCUCGCGUCUGAAGAGGAGCCUGCGGCGGAUUAGCUAGUGGUAAGUAUGGCUUACAGGCAACGAUCC